UCUGAUUCUGGUGCCAAACCUGCUCUGUGUCAGUGACUCACACUCGAAAGCGAAAGUUUGACAGUGAUCAGCUGGUUCAGAUUGAGUUUUAAAUACGACACAGCAGAACAGAAGGAGGGACACAAGUCACGGUUUACUGGUUCCCCUCUCAGACUGACUCAAGUCCAGAAGAUGAAUGAUUUGGAGGAAGAGAAGGACAGAGCAGAGUCUCCAGUAUCUAUGAAGAGUGACUGGUCCAAAGGUCCUCCUCCUGACUUCAGUAAUGAUCCUGGACCAUCAGACACACAGUUUACUGGUUCCCCUCUCAGACUGACUCAAGUCCAGAAGAUGAAUGAUUUGGAGGAAGAGAUGGACAGAGCAGAGUCUCCAGUAUCUAUGAAGAGUGACUGGUCCAAAGGUCCUCCUCCUGACUUCAGUAAUGAACCUGGACCAUCAGACACACAACAGAGGAAGAGGAGUCAUGUUUCUGUGGAGGAGCAGCCGUCCUGCUGUGCUUUGUGUCAAGACGUCCUGAAGGAUCCAGUCUCUACCAGCUGUGGACACUGGUCCUGCAGACGGUGCAUCACCUCAUACUGGGACCAGUCUGCUUCAUCAGGAGACUCCUCCUGUCCCCAGUGUGGAAAAAGACCAAGAACAAGACCUGGACUGCAGACAGCCAGUCAGACCAGCACUGUACAAAUCAGCAGUGGUGUGCAGGAGGUUUUAGAUGAACAUAAGAUCAGCCUGAGGAGGAGAUGUGAACGUGUGACUGAAGGAAGUGAUGAAACAGGAAGCAAAACACCUCUAAACAAGAUCUACACUGAGCUCUACAUCACAGAGGGACAGAGCGAAGAGGUUAAUACCCAACAUGAGGUUUGGCAGCUUGAGACAGCUUCCAAGAUGAAGCCCCUCCAUGACACUCCAAUCAAGUGCCACGACAUCUUUAAAGCCUUACCCGGCCAACAGGGACACAUCAGAGUCGUUCUGACAAACGGUGUCGCUGGCGUUGGAAAAACCUUGAAAGUGCAGAAGUUCACUCUGGACUGGGCAGAGGGCUUGGAAAACCAAGACGUCAGUCUGCUGAUUCUGCUUUCGUUCAGGGAGCUGAACUUGAUCAGAGAUGAGCGGUACAGUCUUCUCCAGCUGCUCCAUGUUUUCCAUCCAACAUUACAGAAGGUCACAGCAGAGAAGCUCGCUGUCUGUAAACUUCUGUUCAUCUUUGACGGCCUGGAUGAAAGCAGACUUUCACUGGAUUUCCACAACAAUGAGGUUGUGUCCAAUGUCACACAGAAGUCAUCAGUCAACGUGCUGCUGACAAACCUCAUUGAGGGGAAUCUGCUUCCCUCGGCUCUCAUCUGGAUCACUUCCCGACCUGCAGCAGCCAAUCAGAUCCCUCCUUCACAUGUUGGCAGGGUGACAGAAGUACGAGGCUUCACUGACUCCCGGAAGGAGGAGUACUUCAGGAGGAGAGUCAGUGAUGAAGAGCUGUCCAGCAGAAUCAUCUCGCACAUCAAGACAUCCAGGAGCCUCCACAUCAUGUGUCUGAUCCCAGUCUUCUGCUGGAUCACUGCUACAGUUCUGGAGCACAUGUUGACUACAGACCAGAGAGGAGAGCUGCCCAAGACCCUGACUGACAUGUACUCACACUUCCUGCUGGUUCAGACAAAGAGGAAGAAGCAGAAGUAUGAUGAGGGACAUGAGACGAGUCCACAGGAGCUGACGGAGGCUGACAGGGAAGUUCUUCUGAAGCUGGGGAGGCUGGCGUUUGAACAGCUGGAGGAAGGAAACAUCAUGUUCUACCAAGAAGAUCUGGAGCAGUGUGGUCUGGAUGUCACUGAGGCUUUGGUGUACUCAGGAGUUUGUACAGAGAUCUUCAGAAGAGAGAGUGUGAUCUUCCAGAAAACAGUCUACUGCUUUGUUCAUCUGAGCGUUCAGGAGUUUCUGGCUGCCGUCUACAUGUUCCACUGUUACACCAACAGGAACACAGAGGUACUGGAGGACUUCCUGGGAAAAGACUGGGACAAUGAAAAUACUGGUUGUUUCCUGAAAGAUGACAGUAAUCAUAAUUACUCAUCCCUGGACGUCUUCCUAAAGAAAGCCAUGGAGAAAUCUCUCAAAAGUAAAAAUGGUCACCUGGACCUGUUUGUUCGCUUCCUUCAUGGCCUCUCUCUGGAGUCCAACCAGAGACUCAUAGGAGGCCUGUUGGGUCAAACAAAGAGAAGAUCAAAAAGCAUCCAGAGAGCAAUCAACAACCUGAAGGAGAUGAACAGUGAUGAGAUCUCUCCUGACAGAGGCAUCAACAUCUUCCACUGUCUGAUGGAGAUGAACGACCACUCAGUACAUCAGGAGAUCCAAGAGUUCCUGAAGUCAGAGAACAGAUCAGAGAAGGAACUCUCUGAGAUCCACUGCUCAGCUCUGGCCUACAUGCUGCAGAUGUCAGAGGAGGUUCUGGAUGAGUUGGACCUGAAGAAGUACAACACAUCAGAGGAGGGACGAUUGAGACUGAUUCCAGCUGUGAGGAACUGCCGAAGAGCUCUACUUUCUGGGUGUAGACUCACAGAGACUCACUGUGAAGUCCUGCCCUCAGCUCUGCAGUCUAACCCCUCACAUCUGAUAGAAUUGGACCUGGGUUAUAACACUCAUCUGAAAGAUUCAGGAGUGAAGCUGAUCUCUGCUGGACUGGAGAGUCCACAUUGCGGUCUGAAGACUCUGAGGCUGACAGACUGUCAGGUCACAGUUAAAGCCUGUGAUUCUCUGGCCUCAGCUCUCAAGUCCAACCCCUUCCAUCUAAGAGAACUGGACCUGAGUAAGAACUAUCUGCAAGAUUCAGGAGUGAAGAUGAUGUUUGAUUUUCUACACUCUCCACAAUGUAGACUGAAGACUCUGAGAUUGAGUUCCUGCUGUUUGUCAGAGAUCAGCUGUGCUUCUCUGGCCUCAGCUCUGAAGUCCAACCCCUCCCAUCUGAGAGAGCUGGACCUAAGCCUGAACUUGCUGCAGGAUUCAGGAGUGAAGCUACUGUCUGUUGGACUGGAGAGUCCACACUGUAGACUGGAGACUCUGAGACUCGAAUGCUGCAGUUUGUCAGAGAUCAGCUGUGCUACUCUGGCCUCAGCUCUGAAGUCCAACCCCUCCCAUCUGAGAGAGCUGGAGCUGAGUAACAACUACCUGCAGGAUUCAGGAGUGAAGCUGCUGUCUGCUGGACUGGAGAAUCCACAUUGUAGACUGGAGAUUUUGAGACUGAGGGUCUGCAGGUUGUCAGAGACCAGCUGUGCUUCUCUGGCCUCAGCUCUGAAGUCCAACCCCUCCCAUCUGAGAGAGCUGGAGCUGAGUAACAACGAGCUGCAGGAUUCAGGAGUGAAGCUGCUGUCUGCUCUACUUGAAAUUCCACACUGUAAACUGGAGACUCUCAGACUUGGUGGCUGUGAACUGACACAGAUCAGCUGUGCUUCUCUGGCCUCAGCUCUGAAGUCCAACCCCUCCCAUCUAAGAGAGCUGGACCUGAGUGAAAACAAGCUGCAAGAUUCAGGAGUGAUGCUGCUGUCUGCUGGACUGGAGAAUCCACACUGUAGGCUGGAAACUCUGAGGUUGAAACACUGUCUGGUCACAGAUGAAGGAUGUGCUUAUUUGGCAUCAGCUAUGAAGUCCAACCCGUCCCAUGUGAGAGAGCUGGACCUGAGAUUAAACUACAGGAUGCAGGAUUUUGGAGUGAUGCUGCUAUCUGCAGGGCUGGAGAGUCCAUACUGCAGAUUGGAGAAUCUGAGGUUAUUGCCAAACACAAUUUAAAUAAUAAUCCAUCAGGUUUCAGUCCUGGUUGAUUUUGUAGCAUCUGUGGUUGCCGUGGUAACAGCAGGUGGUGUAAUACUACAUCAACUGGUGUAUCUGUUUACAGUGCAGCCAAACAAACUAAGGCUGUUUUAAUAAAGAAGUCAGUCAAUAAUAAUUUCAACCUCUAUCUGAUUGCACGCUGCACACACAGCCAGUAGUUGCUGAGGAGCUGGAGGUUUGCAGCCUGUUGCCUGCAGCUCUUAAUCUAACAGCUCACUGUGGCUGCACUUCGCUGACAACAUCAACUCAUGCACUGACUUGUUUUCACUUGUUGUGAUAAUGUGUAAGUGGCCUGCAGACCUGCAGAUAACUGUUUUCACUCUACAGGGUGACAUAAACCUGGAUUAAAGAUGACAACCCAACACGAUAUAGAGGCUAUCUCUGGAUGGGAUCAGAGGGUUGACGGACAUGAAAGAGCUGCAGAUGAACUCAACACUUUCUGAGCUUCUGAGUUUCAAACUGGAAAAACACGCCAACGGGACAGGUCACAUUUCUUUCCACAAAAAUCAGCUUCUGAGUAAGUUUCCGGUUAAGAAACAGGAAAUGCAAAAGGCACAAUAAUGCAUCUUAUAUCUACGAUUCCUCAUUUAAAUUGUUCAGAAUGUCUGAAAGAUUUUACGACCAGCAGGUCACAUCAUCAUGGAAACAACUCGUAGUUCACUCAUCAGUUUGACUCCCAGUUGUUCUAACUCAGAUUAUAAUUUCAUAAAUUAAUGUAGGAGCACACUCACACUCUGCUAUGAGGGAUAAAUGAAUCACAUGGUUAAAACAGUGCACACAUCUUAAUGAACCUCUAUUACUGCCACUAUUGUGGUAAACAUUUCCUGACCAUGGACAGAUUAUGAGACAACGGGCCAACGACUGAUGACCACACUGAUGUACAUCUUAAUCACAGCACUUUAUUCAGCACCAGCAGUAUACAGCUAAACAGAUGAAUAUAUACAGUAGCUUAUAUGAGAUACUUUAAUCAGUUAUAUGCACAGUGAAAAAAAUGGCGGGUUGUGGUAACAUGCAGUACAGCAAAACAUCAAGUCAUUAAUAUAAUUAUUAAACCUGCCACACAUGAAAACACACGUUUAGCCACUGAAAUACUGUUUGAAAUGAAGACUUUAAUAUAAUUUAAAUACAGCUCACCUUGAAAUUCUCCUGCACUUGAAAAUAUCCUCAAAAUCAAUUUACUUUGGUUAAAAAGUGAUACAUUUUGUGAAUCGAAUGUCGUGGGACACAUUUUAUCACGAGUGAUUAUAAAAGACAAAACACAUUAUUAAGUCUCAUUUUAUUGAUGUGAAGUUCAUAUUUUUAUUUGUUUUAUGGAAUCAAAAUUGAUGCACGGACACACAUUGCAGGCCUCCACAUAAUCAACUGAUGACAUGUCUUUGAUUAUUUAUUGACGACUUUUUAAUCUUUUUGGUUUUGUGAUUUUAUAAAUAUAUUGUGAAAUUCUGUUAUGUGAAACAAACUAAACUGCACUGAAUAGAGUGAAAAUAGUUGUGUAUAAAUAUUUCAAAUGAUGUAUUAACUGAUGAUUAAUCAAAUGGUUGCAAGUUGUUAUUUUGUGUUUUUCUUAUAUAAAAGUGUUGACUCGAAUCAUUACUGAGGUUCCUGUUCCCUUAGUGCCUUUUAAUCAGCUUAACAUCGAAACAUCUGGAGACAAAUCUGACACUAAAUUACGACAGAUGUUUUGUGAUGUAUGAACUGAUCUCAGACUGACGGCUUGAGUUUCUUAUCAGUUGGUGAUUAGAGCUUCAACACUAACAGUUAAUUGUAAUAAUGGAUUGUUUAAAGCAUUAAAGGAUCUCCUGUCUGUCGCCGA